rnacentral:rRNA from 1 species
CCUACGGGUGGCAGCAGUGAGGAAUAUUGGUCAAUGGACGAGAGUCUGAACCAGCCAAGUAGCGUGAAGGAUGACUGCCCUAUGGGUUGUAAACUUCUUUUAUAUGGGAAUAAAAUGUUCCACGUGUGGGAUUUUGUAUGUACCAUAUGAAUAAGGAUCGGCUAACUCCGUGCCAGCAGCCGCGGUAAUACGGAGGAUGCGAGCGUUAUCCGGAUUUAUUGGGUUUAAAGGGUGCGCAGGCGGAAGAUCAAGUCAGCGGUAAAAUUGAGAGGCUCAACCUCUUCGAGCCGUUGAAACUGGUGUUCUUGAGUGAGUGAGAAGUAUGCGGAAUGCGUGGUGUAGCGGUGAAAUGCAUAGAUAUCACGAAGAACUCCGAUUGCGAAGGCAGCUCACUGGACUGCAACUGACACUGAGGCUCGAAAGUGUGGGUAUCAAACAGGAUUAGAUACCCGAGUAGUC